rnacentral:lncRNA from 1 species
UUCGUCCUCCGAAGGUACUUAAGGAUCUUCUUGACUGCAAUCCAAUGGGCUCUGCCAGGGUUCCCUUGAUAUCUACUAACCAUGCUCAAAGCAAAGGCUACAUCAGGGCGAGUACAAGUCAUAGCAUACAUGAUUGAGCCAACUGCGGAAGCGUAUGGAACUCGGCUCAUUUCUGCUAUUUCAGCUUCGGUACUCGGACUUUGAGUCUUACUCAACUUGGCAUUACUUUGUAUCGGUAAUUCUCCCUUCUUCGAGUUUUCCAUACUAAAACGUUUUAGUACUUUAUCUAAGUAAGUGUUCUGACUAAGUCCUAUUAGUCUCUUACUUCGCUCUCUCACUAUCCUUAUUCCCAAAAUAUAGGAAGCCUCUCCGAGGUCCUUCAUAGCGAAGCACUUCCCGAGCCAGGACUUAACUUCUUGCAGAGUCGGGACGUCGUUUCCUAUGAGUAGUAUGUCAUCGACAUACAGAACGAGGAAGCUUACUAUACUCCCACUGGCUUUGACAUAUACACAUGAUUCAUCUUCGCUUCGUACAAAUCCAAACUCUUUGACUUUCUCAUCGAAGCAAAGAUUCCAUCUACGAGACGCUUGCUAUAUGUCCAUAAAUGGACUUCUAAUGCUUACACACUCUAUUUGGAUGCUUCGGAUCAACGAAACCCUCUGGCUGAGCCAUGUAAACAUCAUCAGCCAACUUCCCGUUAAGGAAAGCGGUUUUGACAUCCAUUUGCCAAAUCUCAUAAUCAUGAAAUGCGGCAAUUGCUAGCAUCACUCUAAUAGAUUUUAUCUUCGCAACUGGUGAGAAGGUCUCAUCAUAGUCAACUCCGGGAGUUUGAGUAAAGCCCUUCGCAACCAAUCGCGCUUUAUAUGUGUGUACGUUUCCAUCCACGUCGGUCUUCUUCUUGAAGAUCCAUUUGCACCCAACGGUCUUACGUCCGGGCACAUAAUCAACCAAAUUCCAAACUUGGUUAUCAUACAUGGAUUGGAUCUCGCUAUCCAUUGCCUCUUUCCAUUUUGCAGACUCCGGGCCUGCCAUGGCUUCCUUAUAGCUAUUAGGUUCAUCAAGAUUUACUAGUGUACCAUCACUAAUAUACGUGUCCCCUUCGGUAGUAAUAUGAAAGCCAUAAAACUGGGGAUGAACUCUAACUCUAUCGGAACGUCUAAGAGGUAAGGAUUCGUCAAUCGGUUCAACCGGAGUUUCCUCCUCGGGUUGAGUGCCAGCGGUAGAGGUUCCUUCAUCUAUCGACUCUUGAAUCUCUUCAAGUUCGAUUUGCCUCCCACUGUCUCCUUGGCUUAUGAGUUCUCGCUCUCGGAAAACUCCUCUCCUCGCAACGAAGACAACAUUGUCCUUCGGUCUAUAGAAGAGAUAUCCAAAGGAUGUCUGCGGGUAGCCGAUGAAAAUACAUCGCUCACUUCGAGGUUCAAGCUUGUCGUGAGUAUCUCGUCUUACGAAAGCCUCGCAACCCCAAACCUUGAUAUGUGCCAACGAGGGAGCUUUCCCUGUCCACAUCUCGUGAGGUGUUUUGGCAACCUUCUUAGUAGGGACUCGGUUAAGGAUAUGGGCGGCAGUCUCUAAGGCAUACCCCCAAAAAGAGAUUGGUAGUGAAGCACGACUCAUCAUAGAGCGAACCAUAUCCAAUAAGGUUCGAUUACGCCUUUCUGCCACACCAUUCAACUGCGGUGUCCUAGGAGGCGUCAAUUGUGAAACUAUUCCACACUCCUUGAGAUAAUCGUGGAAUUCAAGACUUAGGUACUCUCCUCCUCGAUCGGAUCGAAGCAUCUUGAUUUUCCUGCCCAAUUGAUUCUCCACUUCAUUCUUGAACUCUUUGAACUUUUCAAAGGUGUCUGACUUUUGCUUGAUUAAGUAGAUAUACCCAUAUCUACUAUAGUCAUCGGUAAAAGUCACAUAGAAGCGGUUCCCAUCCUUCGUGGUUGAUCUAAACGGUCCACAUACAUCGGUAUGUAUUAGGUCCAAUAGACCCUCGCCCCUUUCACAUGUACUCGUGAAGGGUGACUUAGUCAUCUUUCCAAGCAAACAAGACUCGCAUGUGUCAUCUUCCCUAAGGUCGAAUGACUCCAACACUCCAUCCUUUUGGAGUUGGGCUAUGCGUUUCUUGUUGACAUGUCCAAGACGACAAUGCCACAAGGAUGCUUUAUCCAUACUAGUGGAAGAAUCAAUAUUCAAAACAUCAUUUCCUAAGUUAUCAACAAUCAUAACGGUUUCAUAUAUUCCAUUACAUGGUAUAGCUUCAAAGUAAAAGACACCAUUUAGAUAAGCCAAAAUAGAACCAUUCUCAUUAUUAAAAGAAAAUCUAAAUCCUUGUCUAUAUAAACCAUGAAAUGAAAUGAUGUUUCUUGCCAUUUCUGGCGAAUAGCAACAAUUGUUCAAAUCUAAAACUAAACUAUUCCUAAGCACUAAGGAAUACACUCCAAUCUUGGUCACAGGCGACGAUCUUCUGUUCCCCAUGAUUAGAUUGAUCCUUCCUUGCUCCACAUCCCUACUUCUUCUUAGUCCCUGCACAUUAGAACAAAUGUGAUAACCACAACCGGUAUCAAGAACCCAAGAAAUAGCAUGAUUAGAAUCGUUAGAUUUGAUUGUAUAUAUACCUGCGAAAGAUGGCUUGAUCUUUCCUUCUUUGAUUGCUUGCAGGUAAUCCGGGCAGCUUCUCUUCCAAUGUCCUAUCUUGUGGCAGUGGUGGCACUCUGCCUCCUUCGGGUUAGAGCAGGGCUUAGCGGGAUCAACUUUGGUCCCACUAGAAGAGGCACCAUCUCGGGCUUUCACCUUGCGAUAGUUCUUCGAUGAAGCUUUCCUCUUCUUUCCCUUCCCUUGUCCAAUAGCCAAGACAGGAGCAGCGGGCGGAUUGGGAGUAGGUGCAACAGACUUGUCUUUGAAGUUGCUCUCAGCAACCCUCAAGAGACCUUGGAGCUUGCUUAGGGUGACCUCUUCUUUGUUCAUGUGGUAGGUCAUCCUAAAUUGGUUGUACAUCGGAGGCAAAGAGUGAAGCACCAUGUCGAUCGCCAAGUCUUCACCGAAGUCAACAUUUAACUUGCGAAGGCGGUCGACAUACCUUUGCAUCUUUUGCAAGUGCACGGUAAGAGAUUCUCCAUGACCCAUCUUCGCGGAAAUCAUGUUAGUGAAAAUCUCGUACCUCUCUUGUCUCGCGUUUUGGUGGUACCUCUCCAAUAAGUCUUGGUGCAUCUCGUACGGGUACAUGUCCUCGUAGGACUUUUGGAAUUCGGAGUUCAUGGUGGCGAUCAUGAUGCAAUGUACCUUCGUUGCAUCUCGCUCAUGAGUUUCAAAGGCGGUGAUUUCGGCGGGAGUAGCAAUUUCGGGGUUGAUUUUCUCGAGCUUCUCAUCGAGGACAUACUCCUUAUCCUCAUAGCGAGCAAUGGUGCGAAUGUAUCUUAUCCAUUCGCUAAAGUUCGUUCCAUCGAAGGUGACCUUUUGGCAAAGGCUCAUCAACGUGAAAGAACUAGCAGCAGCGUUGUUUGCGUUCGACAUCUACAAUUAGAAAAGGACAAAGAUAGAUUAGAAUAAGAAUCCCUAAUUAUCACCCAAUAAGAAAAUUAGGGCUAGGAUCCAACAAUAACAUUUACAUACUAGAAAAGGGAUGCCGUAAUCUAACAUGCAAAUAAAUUGAAGGUAAGUGAAUGACGAUUCACUAAUUCUCCAUCACGAAACUUAAACUAUUAGUCCUAAGUGUUUUUGAGAAUUCCUAGGUUCGGAUGAGAUUCAUUGAAACUAUUCAAUGGCAUGUUUAAAUCUCGAUAUGCCCCUCUUGUUUGUGACUGGGAUACCGAGGAUCACAAAGCGGGUGUGAAUUACCAUGCAAAUUCACAUGGUGCCUUCAUUGUAACGAUCACCUAUUCGAUGUGCCGGUAAACCACACACGCUCCAUCGAACUAUGAUAAACAAUGAAUCACCCUUUGCCACCUUCGCUUAGAACCAAUUAGUGUGCCGGUAAACCACACACGCUCCACUAACAUCUUAGCAAGGUGCAAAGUGUAAUUUCAUGGGAUUGCAUCAAUUCACUUUUCCUAAAGUAACUAGGAUUUGGAAAUUUUUGAAAUAUGUGUAGUUACUUGUAUUUCUUAUUAUACUUUUAAUGAGAGGAUGAGGUUGCCCUAUCCUACCCGUUCGGCUAACGACCCUCCACCAAUCAAGCAAGCGGUGGGUGUGAGUGUACACCCAUUAAGCGCCAUUUUAUAGGCCGCAACCUUAUACCCACCUUAUAGAUCGGCUUCGUGAAUGAGGCCUACUAACGGUAAGACUAGCAUUUAGUUAUACAUAUAUAUAUUAUUCUAGUAAUAUCAUAUUAGUAUAGGGUUGUAUUUUAAAACUUUUAAAAUCUAGGGUUUGAAAUUUAAGUUGUCUAAAUUAAAGCUUUUAAUCACAAAAGUAAAUUUCAAAACAUGAGGGUAGGUUUUAAACAUUUAAAACAUGGAGGAUCAAAUAACAAAUAAUUCCAAUUAACAAUUAAUAUCCUAAUUAUCUAUAUUUGAUUUAUUCAAGAUUUCUUUUAAGAUAAUUACCAAAAUAAUUAAAAUAAUUAAUUAAUUAUCAUAUAAGGAAAUUAAAUAUUUAAUUAGUUGAUAAUUACCUUUAACUAGAUCAAGAUAAUAGUUAUAUUUAUCAGAAAAACGAAUUAAUGUUGAUCUAAUUAGUUUAUGGUAAGUUAAGAUAAGAUAAACACAAAGAAAUCCCGAAUCUGGCCAUUCCUGACGCCUGGACUCGCCGAGUGCACAAAUGGACUCGCCGAGUCAGGCCUACUCGCCGAGUCCACUUUGAGACUCGCCGAGUCCAUGACUCAGAAACCAAAAAUUCGAAUUUUGCAGGUUUGUUUCAGUUAAUCAAGCAACAAUUUAAAGAAAACCAAGCUAGGCUCUGAUACCACUGAUGGGUUUUAGCCAUAAGAACUUUCCUAUGUGCGCAUGCAAAACCCUAAUGCUUGGAUCUAGGCUUUCUAAUAAACAUGCUUUGAAUCCAAGACUUCUAAUGACUAAUUAGGUUAAAUAACAACAUUGAAACAGAUCUAGAAUCAUACCUUUGAGUUCCUUGUUGAUCUUGAGGUCUUGGAGCUUCUAGAGUCACAAAUGUCACUCCUCUAAUGGCUUACAAACACCAAAGCAAGGAGGAUGAUUUGGGAGAGAGGAGAGGGGAGGAAUUCGACCAGAGUUCUCUUGCUUUUUCAGAAGUGUCGAAUUCCCUAUGCCAUGGGGUCUAUUUAUACUUGUAGACUCCUUAAGGAUUACAGAUAAGUCCCUAUCAGAUAAUCUUCUCUUAAGGCUAUCCAAAUCCAUUCCUAGAUAACUCUAAUGGACGAUUUUAGCUAUCCUAAUCCUCUUAGAAUUCGUCCAUAGCAUAUCCAAAUGGAUUUACAGUCUAAAGCUUAACUAUCAAACAAUUGACAGUUUAUACCCCUUUAUUUAAUUAAUCUCUUUAAGUCACCAAAUUAAUUCUAAUUAAUUCUAUGACUUAUAUUAAUCAAAUAACAAAUAUAUUAUUCAUUAUAUUAUUCUCAUAAUAUAUUAAUAAUAUUUACUCUCUCUUAAUAAAUCAUCCUAUCAAGUUGCUAUGGUGAAGGCAACCCAAAAGGACCAUGCACAACCGGAUCAAAUACUUGCCUAAUAUAGUUACAGCCUUAGACACUAUUCCAACAGUCUCCCACUUGGAUAAGUCUAGUAACUAUACAAGUACAAUUCGGUUUGCAAUCGUAGCUCUCAAAGACGCUGUCAACUCUGAUCUAAUCAAUCUUGUCCUUUAGAUAAGGGAACGUACAGUCCUCUGUUAGAUAUCAUGCUGACAAUCCUAUGGAAUGGUUAGUCAAGCAUUUAGGUUUCUCGAUCUCUGAUUUAUUUGACAUAGAACUUAAUCGAACACAUCAAUUCAGUUCUGACCGGGCCCGGCACAUAAGUCAAAUCAAAUCAUCGAGCGGCCGAGAUAUCGCUUUUACCUUCUUAGAUAAAAGUUACAGAUAAACUUCGACUUAUAUGCAUUUACUUAUUCAUUAACCAACUAUACACAACAAUACGUUUUAUAACACCAAGUUACUGAUGCGUUUUCGUAUUAUCAAUGUACAAUCAAUUAACAAAUAAUAAACCAUAUAUCUAGGUUUUAAGACUAUAUGAUAUUAUCGUCUUGCGAUCACCUUUUAUAUCGUAUUCCAUAAGGUGAUUCCAGCAAGCGCGGGUUUAUUCCAAUGCUCAAAACUAGUUCAUAAGCACUCAUGAACGUUGCAGCAAUCCUUUGCUAUGUCUAACACCAUUUAGACAUUCUACACACCAAUUCAUGACAAUCUUCAUUCAUAUCUACUCCCAACAUAUGAACGAUUGUGGACCAUUUGAACAAUUCGAUUAUUCCUAAUAAACUCAAUUAUUCUGGAAGUCAAAACAUGCAAAGUGAAACAAUAGCUAAACAAUUAACAUAAGAUAGUAACAUUACUCAUAAAUAAAACUCCUUUAUUUAAUCAUCAAAUGUUAAUUACAUUUAUCUAUUACACGUUUCUAAUACUAUCUAAUCUAUGCUAAUAUCAUCCUUCAGCCCAAUACUCCUAGCAUGCUGCAAGUGCUUAACCCUACUCAGUCCCUUCGUAAGCGGAUCUGCUGGGUUAUCUUCUGAUGAUAUCCUCUUCACUACGAGUUGUCCUUCUUCUACACGAUGUCUAAUGAAGUGAUAUUUUCUGUCGAUAUGUCUUGAUCUACCAUGAUCCCUCGGUUCCUUGGUCAAGGCAACCGCUCCUUCGUUAUCACAGAAAAUCUCCAUGGGCUCCUUUAUGGCAGGUACAACUCCAAGAUCACCGAUGAAGUUCUUUAGCCAUAUUGCCUCCUUCGACGCUUCGCUCGCUGCAAUGUACUCUGAUUCGCACGUUGAAUCAGCUACGGUUUCCUGCUUGGAACUCUUCCAUGUCACUGCUCCUCCAUUUAGGGUAAAGACCCAGCCCGACUGCGAACGGUAGUUGUCCCUGUCGGUCUGAAAACUGGCGUCACUAUACCCUCGCACCUUCAAGUCAUCACUCCCUCCGAGGACUAAGAACCAUUCCUUCGUCCUCCGAAGGUACUUAAGGAUAUUCUUCACCGCAAUCCAAUGUGCUUUGCCAGGAUUCCCUUGAUAUCUGCUAACCAUGCUCAAAGCGAAGGCUACAUCAGGGCGAGUACAAGUCAUAGCGUACAUGAUUGAGCCAACUGCGGAAGCGUAUGGUACUCGGCUCAUUUCUGCUAUCUCAGCUUCGGUACUCGGACUUUGAGUCUUACUCAAUUUGGCAUUACUUUGUAUCGGUAGUUCUCCCUUCUUUGAGUUUUCCAUACUAAAACGUUUUAGUACCUUCUCUAAGUAAGUAUUCUGACUAAGUCCAAUUAGUCUCUUACUUCUUUCUCUUACUAUCCUUAUUCCCAAAAUGUAAGAAGCCUCUCCGAGGUCCUUCAUAGCGAAGCACUUCCC